rnacentral:lncRNA from 1 species
AAGACAAGAGCUGGGUCAGGUCGGGAAGUACCGUGUAGCAUGGGCUGCCUUACCGUCCGGCUGCACAGAGGGGACCAUCCCACCCUAACCACCCGCGAGAAAGGGCUGGGAUCGGACGGGCCCACACGCUCAACCUCGGGAGGGAGGGAAUUAAGGAAAAGCCGUCGGGGUCGGAGACCGGCCCGGGAAGCCCCUCGGGUCCGGGCACAGGUCGGGGGGAGUGGCUGGGGAGGGACGACGAGCCGGUCCACCCAGCGCGAUUUCCCCUCCCCGAGCCGGAGGUGGUCGCGGGGUGCCCCCCGGAGAGGCCGGGCUGCACGGCCAGCUCCCGCCCGGAGGUGGGCUUCGAACAGCGAGGCGCGCGGCGCCUCCGCCGAGAGGUGCCCAGUCACCGGCCCUGACUCAGCUAAAAGCCGGCGUGGCGGCUCCUCCCUGGCGGCGCCGGCGGCGGCCUCACUCACCGGCCGAAGUGAUCAUGGCUGCGCCCCGCACUCGCCCGCCCGCUCGCUCGCCGCCCCGGCCGCGCCGUGUAUCUGUCAGCUCAGGGCCCGCUCGCUUCGCCGAGCCUCCUGGCUCCCCCCGGUGCCCUGCUCAAGUCAGUCGCCUCCUCAGGCCGCCGGCUCGCUUCUCACCCAGGACCCUGCCCGCCCCGGAGCUGCCCGCGACGCCGCCUGCCGCCCGGCGCGAAUUCUGCCCCCUGUGCCUGUGUCUCCCCGGGCCGCCGCUGCCGCCCCGCCUCGCGCGGGAUGGGGGUGCACGGAGAGCUCCAUGCUCUUCUCUAACCCUCCUCGAGGCCACAGCUCCCGCGGGGACAGGAACCCGCGUCCGCACCUAGAGUCAGGCUUCAGAAUAGCCACCCCUAGAAAAAGGACCCCGCCCCCCCACCGUCACCCGCCAUUGCUGAAAAAGGGAGGUUGAGGGGAGGUUGCUCGCGGUGUUCGCAGCGCCACCUGCUGCCUGGGCGGUCUCCUUGNNNNNNNNNNNNNNNNNNNNNNNNNNNNNNNNNNNNNNNCAAAUAGAGUUUUCUAAGAAAAGUGAUUUUCAAAUUUUUUUAAAAAGUGGAGCCCAGCUUUAAAAGAAAUCCUCACAUCAGUGCUCUAUUAUCGUAUCACAGUGAAUCCCUAAGUAAUCAUUGGUUUAUCAUAAAGUUGAACGAGGGAAGUUCUAAUUUACAUUUGGAACAGUGAGUGUUGUAAAUGGUUUAAAAAUCAGAAGUAUACAAAGAUAUACAGUGAAAAGUGUUCCAAAGGAGAAAAAAAAAAUGUCGUUGUUGCCUUCCAUCUGCCCAGUUCCUCUCACCCUCCAUAGCAGCGGGUUCCUGUUUUUUAGUAUGUCUGAUUUGAAAUGCCAGUUGUGAUCGACAUCCGCGGUUUUAUUCCAGCUUUAGUAGACAAUUUACUUCAGUAGUCAGUACUAAGAAAGUCUUGAC